rnacentral:rRNA from 1 species
UACGAAGGGGGCUAGCGUUGUUCGGAAUCAUUGGGCGUAAAGAGCGCGUAGGCGGCCCUGUAAGUCCGCUGUGAAAGUCAAGGGCUCAACCCUUGAAUGCCGGUGGAUACUGCAGGGCUAGAGUCCGGAAGAGGCGAGUGGAAUUCCUGGUGUAGUGGUGAAAUGCGUAGAGAUCCGGAGGAACCCCAGAGGCGAAGGCGGCAUUCUGGCUCGCAACUGACGCUCAGACACGACAGCAUGGGGAGCGAACGGG